rnacentral:rRNA from 1 species
UAGGGAAUCUUCGGCAAUGGACGAAAGUCUGACCGAGCAACGCCGCGUGAGUGAAGAAGGUUUUCGGAUCGUAAAACUCUGUUGUUAGAGAAGAACAAGGACGUUAGUAACUGAACGUCCCCUGACGGUAUCUAACCAGAAAGCCACGGCUAACUACGUGCCAGCAGCCGCGGUAAUACGUAGGUGGCAAGCGUUGUCCGGAUUUAUUGGGCGUAAAGCGAGCGCAGGCGGUUUCUUAAGUCUGAUGUGAAAGCCCCCGGCUCAACCGGGGAGGGUCAUUGGAAACUGGGAGACUUGAAGGCGGAAGAGGAGAGUGGAAUUCCAUGUGUAGCGGUGAAAUGCGUAGAUAUAUGGAGGAACACCAGUGGCGAAGGCGGCUCUCUGGUCUGUAACUGACGCUGAGGCUCGAAAGCGUGGGGAGCAAACAGG